rnacentral:rRNA from 1 species
UACGUAGGGGGCUAGCGUUGUCCGGAAUCAUUGGGCGUAAAGGGCGCGUAGGCGGCCCUCUAAGUCAGACGUGAAAUCCCUCGGCUCAACCGGGGAACUGCGUCUGAGACUGGAAGGCUUGAAUUCGGGAGAGGGAUGUGGAAUUCCAGGUGUAGCGGUGAAAUGCGUAGAUAUCUGGAGGAACACCGGUGGCGAAGGCGGCAUCCUGGACCGAUAUUGACGCUGAUGCGCGAAAGCCAGGGGAGCAAACGGG